UACGAAGGGGGCUAGCGUUGCUCGGAAUCACUGGGCGUAAAGGGUGCGUAGGCGGGUUUUUAAGUCAGGGGUGAAAUCCUGGAGCUCAACUCCAGAACUGCCUUUGAUACUGAAGAUCUUGAGUUCGGGAGAGGUGAGUGGAACUGCGAGUGUAGAGGUGAAAUUCGUAGAUAUUCGGAGGAACACCAGUGGCGAAGGCGGCUCACUGGCUCGGUACUGACGCUGAGGUGCGAAAGCGUGGGGAGCAAACAGG
rnacentral:rRNA from 1 species